UUCCGUCACCAAUUUGUGGAAAUGGUUCCAUCAUUGAGAGAAAUUCUUUUAAUUUCACACGUUAUUUUCUUUACCCUCAAAUGAGAGAAACAAAAAACUCAAACCUCUUUCUAUGCUCUCUCGUCGGCCAGACCUUUUCGAUCCAGAUCCCGCCACCACUCAACCAGAUCGGAGAUAAAGACACACUUUUCGAGCUCCCCAUAUCGAGAUCUAUUUUUUGAGAGGACCAACUAUGUCGUCUGCCUCUCCACUGUUGUGGUGAGAGUAUUUCCUACCCUCUUCAGUUUUUCUUCUUCCUCUUUUAUUUUUUGUUUUUUUCCUUCUUUGUAUAUAUUGAGUCACUUCAUUCUCUACCAUUAUCAUUUUAUUCAGAAAUAGUUUUGGUGGAACCACUAUGUUGGAACUCUACAGCCGCCCUGGUACGAUCUACUUCAAAGGUGAGUCUUCUAUUUUGCUCAGUUUAUACUUCAAACCUAAAAAAAACUCAUUUUUCUUUUAAAACCCUAAAUUAUUUUUCAUCCAAAAAGUAGUCGCCGUUUAGANNNNNNNNNNNNNNNNNNNNNNNNNNNNNNNNUUUUCCAAGUCACAGUGGAAGAUGAUAGAAAAUAGAGAAAAUGUAAUGAAUCAUUGAGGUGGAUAUUGAUUGACAUUAUAAAUUACAAUUACCAUGAGGUUGAACUCUUGACUUAUAAUUCCAGGUGCAUCUAACAAUCUUUUAAGAUGAUGUGGUUGAUAUAUUAGCUCUGUUUAAUAUAACCAAGUACUUUAACAAGUUUUUGUUUCACUUUGACUGUCUUUAACUUCUCUUUAACAAGUUUUUGUCUUUAACCAUAUGGCAUUACCAUGUGAAUUCCAAUAUUGGUAAAGUUGAUCAUAAUUAUAAGGUGAUUGGUGUGGAAGCUAUAGUAAUUGAUGGAUCCAUUUUUAUCUCUCACUAGGGAUCAAUCCUCAAGUUACUGAAAUGAUGCAAAGAAGGGCCAUUGACAUCUAACUAGUNN
rnacentral:lncRNA from 1 species